CAACUAAAUGAGCUCAAAUUUUGGAAGCCGGUACAGAAAACGAUCUGAACCGCCUUGCUGAUAAAUCGUAUGUACAAAUUAAAAGAUGAAUUAUAUCGUUCGUUAAAGACUGAUGUCUAGAAUGGGAACGCAGGGGAGUGUGCAACUCCAAUGCAUAUGCAAUGCACCCCGGUAUCACGAAGAGAAUAAAAAAUACAAAUUUCCGCAGGUGAGGUAGGAGCUUAAUUGGUAUCGUCUAUUCUCACACGUCAAGCAGUCAUAGAGGCCGGGGUUCCCACAAAGGUUGCAUUACACAUCUUACGUUUGAACAGAUCACUAGCGAAACUUCUACCGGCUAUCGAGUGUAUACGAUGGCGACAUUAGUUUUGCUAAAUUUAUUACUACUAUUUAUAUGGAUUACGGAUGCUGCAGACGUACCAUGUUCAACGCCGGAUCAGCUCACCGGAAGUUGCGUUCCACUGGAAAAGUGUUCCAACCUUUACCUCACGAAGCAACUGUACAAAAAGCUAUCGAUCUCUGAAGAGAAUUACAUUCGUAAUGCCACAUGCCGACUUGAAGAUUCGACGAUGGGAAUCUGCUGUGCCACUGAAAAGAUCUUCGAACUACCGGACGAAUGUGGCGUUGCCUCAUCUAGCCGUAUUGCCCACGGUAACAGGACGGAGGUGUUCGAGUUCCCAUGGAUGGCGUUGUUGAUGUACCGCAGCCGGGACAGUGAUGAGCUGCAGGGCAAUUGUGGUGGGUCAUUGAUUAGUGAACGAUACGUGGUUACGGCGGCACAUUGUCUGACGAAGGCAUCCAGCGAUCGCAGCCGGAGUAAAUUGGAGUUUGUGCGGCUUGGAGAGCACACGAUCAGCACUAAUCCAGAUUGCAAUAACUUUACGGAACUGAGUGGUAAUUUCGAACAGGAUUGUGCGGGGCCUGUAGAAGACGUCGGUUAUGAGUCAUUCUUAAUUUAUAAAGAUUAUAAUGGCACUUUUGGAGGGGACGACAUAGGUCUGGUUCGAUUGGCAGAGCGGAUCGUCUUCAAACCUCACAUCAAGCCAAUAUGCCUUCCCAUGAAUGCGGAACUGAAGGAUACUCUGCUGCCGCAAUACUUCGUAGCAGGUUGGGGCUACACGGACUCUCUGGACAAAUCGGAUGUCCUUCAGAAAGCUUUGCUGCCUCGAGUUGACCUGGACCAGUGCCAGGCACGGUUCAAACCCUACCGCAAGAAGUACAACAUCACCAUCAGUGAAAAGCAAAUUUGCGCCGGGGCUGUGAAUCUGGUCGAUGCCUGUGCCGGAGAUUCCGGUGGACCGUUGAUGUGGCAGACGGACUAUAAGGCGGCGGGGUCACCCCGGUACGUGCUGUUCGGAGUGGUGUCCUUCGGAGUGCAAACAUGUGGGACGAUGGACUUUCCUGGGGUGUAUAUGCGCAUUGGAGCAUAUUUAGAAUGGAUACUGGAGAAUAUGGAAGCAUGAUCGGAAUUUGAAGCAUCUAUUGGUUAUUGGAAAAAAGGCUAUUUAAUAAAGAUUUUUGCUAUUCGAAAUUUCGACAUGUGUUGCCGUUACAAAGACGAUGCCUAUAAUGGAACCAGUAGAGUUUUCACCAGAAUGCUGCUUCUAGCUUUAAAUCACCUCAUGUCCGUCCGUCAAGAAGCUCCCAUCCCGUCCUAUAGAAAGAUUGAUGUUUCUCGCUUAAUGGUUUAUUGAAGAAUGACUUACUGGCUAACAACUACAGCUAUUUAUACUGUCAAACGAGAUUAUUCUACUGUUACUUUGAUUAGCAACUGCUACUACGAUUGGCAACCUUUGUUACUUCAACACGUCCAUAUCUCUGAACAUGAACUUUUCUUAUGAGAACGGCAAUCAAUUCCUUUCCUUAAAAUUCCAGGCGGCUUUUGUCAGCUCGAAAGCGGCGGGUCUGCUCCUUAUGUUUGUAUCGUUCAACGUUCUGCCAGCUUCCAUGCUGCAGCAUUAUACCGAUCGUGUCGCAUUCUUCUCCUUCAAAAUCGCUCUGUGAAUCAUUCGUUCUGUCGUCCCUGUUCCACGUACCCGAUGGUGCUCUCGACUGUGUCAAUAAUGGCUUCAUUUUAGAAAGCAGUUACUGAGUAAUGAUAUUACACCACAUGCGUGAAACGAUUUUCAAAAUCCUCAAUCAAUAUGCUGAAUGAGAUGUCCAGUAUAUUGUACUUCGGGAACAGUGGCGUAGCUAGGAAUUUGGGAAACCGGUGCGGAACCAAAUUUGUGGGCCCCCAUGAAAAUUACAAAUGUAAAUACUUUACAAUGAUAAGUCUAUCCUGCUAACUCUCAAAUGAUCACGCCGUAUAUUGUAUUUUGUACAAAACGUUGAAAAAAAUCUCGACUUUCGAACUCAACAUUUGCGUGAUGCUGGCGGUGGUGGCCAACUGACUGAUGGAAGGUUAAACAUUAUUUCUAUUCUUUUAUGAAUUUCUUCGGGGAUUUCUGGAAGGAUCCAUCCCGGAGUUCCAUCAAUGAGCAUAUGAUUAUUUUCUAAGAAUAAUGUCGAAUUUAUUAAGAAAUUUCAUCAAGUAAUCCCUGAGGAAGUCCUUCAAAGAUUGCUUUACCGUUUUCUUAAAAAAAAACCCUUUCUGAAUAACAAUGUGUCUUCAAGAAUCUUAAAAGUGUUUAACGCAAGCGUAUCAUUCAGCAUUUCGCUAAACACUCCAUCAGGUAUUCUUACAGUGUUGUCUCCGAGCAUUUUUUCAAAAGUACUUUGGAGUACUUUGAAAGAUUCAUGCACAGGCUUUAUCAAGUAUUUCUCGAAACAUUUGAUCAGCAAUUCAAUAAUAUCUCUGAGCAUUCAUCUAUAAGAUCAAAGAAUUCUUAAGAAAUUCUAGAAAAACCACUACAAAAGUUUUUCAAUGAUUUUUUUGGAACCAGAUAGGGUAAAUGUACCAAUAGUGGUGCUAUUAGUAGCUCCUUGUAGUAAAAUAAUUGAAUAAAGUUGAUAGCACCACAAAAUAAAAAGUCUGAAAACGUUAAUCGGUAGUUUUUCAUCAAAAUUUGCUAGGAAAAAUGUAAAAACCAUUGUUUCUUUCAGUUUUUGCUAAUAAAUCACUUGCACCAACUAUAGGUACACGGUUCCUAUUAUGGAGGUAAAAUUUAACAUUGGUUCCUAUAGUGGCGCAUCCCAUUGAAUUCUUAUGGGACCCACCACUAUAGGAACACUACCUCCACUAUAGGUGCAAAGGAGCAAAAAAAUUAAGGAAAAUAAUUGUUUAAAAUAGGUUUUUCGGCAAAUCCUGAACACAAAACUGAAUUAAUGUUAUUAAUGAGUUAUGAUGCAUCUAUUAAAAAUGUCAUUUGCAAGCUUUUUGGUCGAAAUAGUGCUAAAUUGGCUAUACCACCACUAUUGGUACUACCUCCACUAAGGGAGCUUUUACCCUAUUUUUCCAAGAAAUUACGUCGGAAUUCCGUCAGAGGAAGAGAAGUCCUUCUAGAAGCAUUCCUCCAUGGUUUCUUUCAGGAGAACCCAACCGACAACUCCGCGUUGCUAGCCUUUUGUGGAUUCCCGGACAUAGAACUGAUUAUGGACGUAAUAAUCCUCUGGACAAGUUUUGUGAAUUAUUUAAUGCUGUUUAUGACGAAUUUGAUUUUAAUGUUAGUAGAAUAGAGUUUAAAAAUAGGAUUAAGUAUCGGUCUGUGUAGUUUUUUUUUUUCUAACUAAAGACGGCAAAUAA